rnacentral:ribozyme from 1 species
GGUCCUCAGGGGGACUUUAAAUAGGCUUUAGGUCCUGAGCGUGACCACUGCGGUGGUCGGUAGCA